rnacentral:rRNA from 1 species
CGGGACGGGGUGGAGGUAAAUGUCUGGGGAAACAGCCUGAUGGAGGGGGGUAACUACUGGAAACGGUAGCUAAUACCGCAUAACGUCGCAAGACCAAAGAGGGGGGACUUCGGGGCCUCUUGCCAUCGGAUGUGCCCAGAUGGGAUUAGCUAGUAGGUGGGGUAACGGCUCACCUAGGCGACGAUCCCUAGCUGGUCUGAGAGGAUGACCAGCCACACUGGAACUGAGACACGGUCCAG